AGGAUGAACGCUGGCGGCGUGCUUAACACAUGCAAGUCGAGCGAAGCGCCUUAACGGAAUUCUUCGGAAGGAAGAUAAGGGGACUGAGCGGCGGACGGGUGAGUAACGCGUGGGUAACCUGCCUUAUACAGGGGGAUAACAGCUGGAAACGGCUGCUAAUACCGCAUAAGCGCACGGCACUGCAUGGUGCAGUGUGAAAAACUGAGGUGGUAUAAGAUGGACCCGCGUCUGAUUAGGUAGUUGGUGGGGUAACGGCCUACCAAGCCGACGAUCAGUAGCCGACCUGAGAGGGCGACCGGCCACAUUGGGACUGAGACACGGCCCAAACUCCUACGGGAGGCAGCAGUGGGGAAUAUUGCACAAUGGGGGAAACCCUGAUGCAGCGACGCCGCGUGAGCGAUAAAGGGUUUCGGCUCGUAAAACUCUGUUGUUAAGGAAGAAUACUUGAGGUAGUAACUGGCCUUGAGAUGACGGUAC
rnacentral:rRNA from 1 species